rnacentral:rRNA from 1 species
UACGGGGGGGGGCAAGCGUUGUUCGGAAUUACUGGGCGUAAAGGGCUCGUAGGCGGCCAACUAAGUCGGACGUGAAAUCCCCAGGCUCAACCUGGGAACUGCGUCUGAUACUGGAUGGCUUGAAUCCGGGAGAGGGAUGCAGAAUUCCAGGUGUAGCGGUGAAAUGCGUAGAUAUCUGGAGGAAUACCGGUGGCGAAGGCGGCAUCCUGGACCGGCAUUGACGCUGAGGAGCGAAAGCCAGGGGAGCAAACGGG